rnacentral:rRNA from 1 species
AAGAAGGUUUUCGGAUCGUAAAGCUCUGUUGUUGGUGAAGAAGGAUAGAGGCAGUAACUGGUCUUUAUUUGACGGUAAUCAACCAGAAAGUCACGGCUAACUACGUGCCAGCAGCCGCGGUAAUACGUAGGUGGCAAGCGUUGUCCGGAUUUAUUGGGCGUAAAGCGAGCGCAGGCGGAAUGAUAAGUCUGAUGUGAAAGCCCACGGCUCAACCGUGGAACUGCAUCGGAAACUGUCAUUCUUGAGUGCAGAAGAGGAGAGUGGAAUUCCAUGUGUAGCGGUGGAAUGCGUAGAUAUAUGGAAGAACACCAGUGGCGAAGGCGGCUCUCUGGUCUGCAACUGACGCUGAGGCUCGAAAGCAUGGGUAGCGAACAGGAUUAGAUACCCUGGUAGUCCAUGCCGUAAACGAUGAGCGCUAGGUGUUGGGGACUUUCCGGUCCUCAGUGCCGCAGCAAACGCAUUAAGCGCUCCGCCUGGGGAGUACGACCGCAAGGUUGAAACUCAAAGGAAUUGACGGGGGCCCGCACAAGCGGUGGAGCAUGUGGUUUAAUUCGAAGCAACGCGAAGAACCUUACCAGGUCUUGACAUCCUGUGCUACACCUAGAGAUAGGUGGUUCCCUUCGGGGACGCAGAGACAGGUGGUGCAUGGCUGUCGUCAGCUCGUGUCGUGAGAUGUUGGGUUAAGUCCCGCAACGAGCGCAACCCUUGUCUUUAGUUGCCAUCAUUAAGUUGGGCACUCUAAAGAGACUGCCGGUGACAAACCGGAGGAAGGUGGGGAUGACGUCAAGUCAUCAUGCCCCUUAUGACCUGGGCUACACACGUGCUACAAUGGGCAGUACAACGAGAAGCGAACCCGCGAGGGUAAGCGGAUCUCUUAAAGCUGUUCUCAGUUCGGACUGCAGGCUGCAACUCGCCUGCACGAAGCUGGAAUCGCUAGUAAUCGCGGAUCAGCACGCCGCGGUGAAUACGUUCCCGGGCCUUGUACACACCGCCCGUCACACCAUGGAAGUCUGCAAUGCCCAAAGUCGGUGGGAUAACCUUUAUAGGAGUCAGCCGC